CAAGAUGUUCACUCCCUGAUUGCUUGAACACUUCAAGCUGCACCAUGUAAAUUCCUCCUCCAGUCGCCAUGGAGGACAGUUGUCUUCACAUCAAGUUGUUCCAAUUCAAAUCAUUAUUUUCCCCUAAAGCUAAAACUGAUCUGAUAGAUGUGUGUCUGACAACCGGAGAUAAGAUCUCAUCAUAAUCAACUCCCUUCCAUUGGUUAACAUCCCUUUGCUACUAGUCGAGCCUUAAACCUGACAUCUUCUUUUUCAGAGAUAGCUUCUUUUUUCGUGUAUACCCAUUGGCAACCGAUUGCUUUUCUUUCCUUAGGAAGUUCGACCAAAUUCCAAUUUAUUUUUAUGCAAAACCUCCAACUUUUCCAUCAUGGUUCCAUCCAUCUACUUUUUCUGUUGCUUGAACUGCUUCGAAUGUAUAAGGAUCCCCACACUAGUGUCAAUGCCUAUCAACCAUAUCCUCAAAAACCAUACCUGCUGGUUGUUUAGAAUUGCGUUUGGUCUGUCAUAGUUAUACUCUGGUGUUGUUGUUCCGACUCUCUUGUGGCUGAUAUUCUCUAUAUCCGAAUAUCAUCUCCCACCUAAUCACUUUCUCAUCAAUUUGUGGUACCUUGUCUGCUUCAGUUUUCUGAUCAUCCCACAAGGGUCCUUUAAACUUUGAUGACUCGUCAAAUACUACAUCUCUAUUGAUCACCACCUUCAGGGGCCCCCCCCCCCUUCCUAGAUCCCAAAGCUUGUAUCCCUUUUACACCUUUUCUUUAUCCAAUAAAGAAUACACUUCUUUUGAAUUUUGGAUCAAAUCUUUGAUCUCUAAGCAUAAGUAGUACAACCAAAUAUUUUCAUCAAAGAUAAAUCAACUUCUUUACCUGACCAUAUUUCCUAUGCUACCUUUCCAUCCAAUGCUGUCCUUUUUGUGAUCUCUUGAUUAUGUGGCACGCCAUGUUAACUGCCUUUGCCCAAACACUCGAAAGCCCAGCGUUUUAUUCUUCAGACAUUGUGCCCUUUCUACAAUAGUCUAUUCAUCCUUUCGGCAACUCCCUUUGCUUGUGGUGUCUUCUUCACUGCGAAGUGCCUUUUGAUACCAUGCUCCUCGCAGAACUUCAAGAAGAGUUAUGUGUAUUCAGUACCGUUAUCUAUUCAUACAUUUAAUCUGUCCUUCCAGUCUGGUUCUCCACUUUGCUUCCACCAAUUUGAACUUCGAAAAAUUUUCUGAUUUGUUCUUCAUGAAGUAAAACCAAACUUUGCUAGAGUAAGUCCAUCACUAAAAGUCAAGAGUAAACUGGAUCCCCAUUGAAGCUACUCUGACUGGCCCCAAACAUCUGAAUGCACAGCCCAGUAUUUCCCUCUGUUUUAUGCACAACAGUCUGAACGCCACUCUGCCUAUUUGCUAAGAACACAAAAUUUGUAGAAAUCUAAUUUGCAAAUUUAACCCCUUUCAGCAAGUUCCUCUGUCAACUCUGUCAUUCCUUCUCACUCAUAUGCCCUAACCGCAUAUGCCAUAAUAGUGUGUCAUCAUUCUUCGAGUCAGAUUUCGUUGCUGCAUUAACUCCCCUACAACUGUACUCCCUAACAAUUUGUAGAUAUCCCCCCAACUUUCUGACCCUUCAUGACAUAAAAUAAGCACCUUUGAUUACCGUCAAGACUCCACCUCAAACUUAAUAUCCGUAGCCAUUAGAUCUAAGGUGCCCAAAGAAAAUCAAUUCCUUUUUUAGUCUGGAAUAUGUCUAACAUCACAUAGUGUUCUCACCACACAUCACACUUUUAAUCUUAAUUGUGCCUAUUCUAAUAACCCGACAAAAUGCAUCAUUGCCCAUUAUAACAGAACCCAAUUAACUGACCGUAGUGUCGAACCACUCUCUCUUAGGAGACAUGUGAUACCACAAUCUGCCUAUAGUCUGAAUAGAUGAAAUGAAGCAUGUCACCAUCCCAUAGUCGGCGAAUUUCUCUGCCUCCACGUCGCUAAUGUUUGAUGCUUCCCCUUUUCUUCCUUUUCAUCGCCUUUCCCGUUUCCACUUCGGACCAUCCUUCUUCAAUAUGCCCUUUUCAUGACACUUGAAACACUUGAUGUCCUUUUCUAUUCCUUGAUUAUGAUCUACUAUUCGGUACCAUAUUGCCCCUUCCUUUACUUCGUCACGAUUCCUGGUUUUGCCAUUUACCACAAGCCUUUCACCUUGAGACUUUCAUUAUUUUCUUUUUCGCUGAUUGUACUCCAAAGCAGCCUAGUGCCUCUUCUAUUUCUAGUGGUUUUUUCCCCCACAUUAGAGUGUCAACCAAUGCUCAUAUGAACUUGGAAGAGAAUUUUAAAGCAUCAGUGCCUUGUCUUCUUCAUCGAACUUCAAUCGAUUCGUAAUAAAUUGCUAGUUACUGGUUAAACAUUCACGUGUUUGAAUUAAAAUUAACUAAUCUGAACCCCCGCCAUCUUUAACCCGUACAGUUUUUCUAUUUGAGGAACAAUUAAUUCGUCAGAGAAUUUAGACAUAUAUCUGUUCUCCAGUUUCUCCAGAUGCUAUUGGCGAUUCCUCUUCCAUGACCUGAUCAGAACAUCAUCAUAAGACAAAUGGGGGGGGGGGGGGGGGGCCGAAAUGGUACUCACGCUUUUCAUCUUAAUUUUCUCUCUAUCCCAAUCUUCAUCGGAUGUUCUUCUCCUGGGCCCUCUUCCCGGUCAGCACUCUCAUUAACCUGCUAACAAGCAUGUCCUUUACUCGUCUUUGGCCAUAGCCGCAAAUUACCAGUGCCAUUGAACUUUACUACUUUGUAUUUUAGAGCCGAACAUUAAUUGUCCAUGUAACCUGUAGCUUUAAUACACGUUGUUAUGCAGAGAUCUAAACGAUGGCAAAUGAAAAACGAGAAUAAACAGCCAAGACACACGGAUUUAACGAGGCUACGGCAAUCGUGUGUGACUCAACCUACGUCCUCGGCUGUAGCAUUAUCUCUUUAUUAUUGUUCAGAAGAAAUACAACUGAUUAGGGUUACAUACAUAUACUAUAUAUAACUCUAAUCCCGAAAUAAUAGUGAAAUCCCAAAUCUCUGUUUUGUCUUCGUUCCACCCAUGAGCCCUAUUGUCUCGGGCUUAUUAUCAAUUACUGCGCCACUAACUCCAACAUUGAGAGAAUGCGAUAUUAAUAGCGAUGAUAACUUUAGAUAUCUCAACAAUAAAAUUGGCAUCGUUUAAAUUAUAAUAGAAUUAUGUGUGUGGUGUGCGUUUAAGAAAUGAUAGGAAGGAAAUUGAAGAUAGACAACUGCGGUGGCGUGGGUGGCUGCAGUCAGUCACUAGUCAACAGGGGCCUAACUGCGACACAGAAAUUGUGAGGUCAGCUGCUGGAGCUGUUUUCAAAAAAUAGCUCUUCAACAGUCAAUUUAAAUGACCGAAGAAUGCAUGUAGAGAGAGAGAAAGUAUGUGCUCCUUAAGAAUGAAUGCGUGUACCCUUCAGAAAAAUAAAGGCUGAACUUAUAUGACAUAGCUCGAUACGUGCUUAGACAUGCCAACUGCUGUGUCAGUGAGUAGGCGGCUGACUUAGCCAUGCUCCUACGCCUUGGUUCGUAGCUUGUCAUCAUGCUGCUGAUGUCUCGAUCCGGGUAUGUGGACUGUCAAAAGAAGCUUCAAUGCACAAGUUGCCUUCUGUCCCUUGACAUCUCUCUGGAUCGCCGCUGACCGUUGCCCCUCGUCCAAAUUCUGGUACGGUUACACGUUCGGACUUGCUAAAUAGCAACAACUCGAAAGUGGUGGUAGCCUUAGCGACAAUGCUAGCAUUUGGUAGUGUCUACACCUAACUCCGGCGUAGGGGACCACCGAGAUUGCUUUAUAACAAUAGUUCAGUGGACGUGCCUGCCCUAGCAAGGCCAAAAUCUGUCAUUGUUUAUUUUGUCCCCUUACAAUUGUCCCUUAGUUUGCAUGAGUUGGGUCAAUGCUUACUGAGGCGAUGUGAACUGGACAUGUUCAUCCUUUGAGCCCGAACCUUAGCGGGCACGCUAAUGCCUACUAACUGUUUUCUUCUUGCUUAAGUUUGUCACUUAAUCAUACUAUUGAGCCACGCGUCAAAGUCUGCUUAGUCCUCGAGCUCGAUUUGAGCACUAGUGCCGAGGUCCCCCACUUACCCCUAGCGCUUGUUUGGUGAAGACGCACAGCUAGGUUACUACCACACGCUCUUUUCUAGUUGUUUCGAGGGUAGUUGCUUGCUUGCGAAAUGCCGCAUUUCAAGGGAGUGUUUGGGGUGUUUUCUCGCACUUUCACCUUCCUUAUCGAUGCAUGUUUAUCUUAUUUCAUUAUUAUUCACCCAGCAUCCUAAGAGUAUUCUAGAGAGAGGAGGUGCGUGCCAUCAGCUUGCUGUAUUUUACUAUAUUAUGCCGAUUCUUAUUUUGACACAGAUUCUGACCUUGUUUUUACCUUUAGGCGAUGGUUGCUUGUCUCAAAACCAUCUCUGUAAGUCUCUUUUUGUUCUUUUGGGAAAAUUUUUCCUUUUGUUCAUGCGCACAUUUCUUCUUUUCUGGAUUUGCUUUGUUUUUGCCUGAGUUUCUAUAUUUUCAAGAUUUCCUUUGAUUUGUCUUAUGUUUCCCUUCUUUGGUAUUUGUCUUGAGUUCUUGACCUUGGCUCGUCCACCACUAUUGAGGCUCUGAACGUUUUUGAGUUCUAUGGACCAGGUCGUCCUUAACUCAUUUCUUUUAAUAAAACGGGUCCAAAUUGCCAUGUAGGACAAAAAUCAUUGGCCUUAGGGUUUUGCCCCCAAGCCCUUCUAUUGCCAAGAUAGGUUCGAGGCAAAAGGGGGGUCUAAUAGUAGUCCUUUAGGAGAUAGUAGUUAGUCCUUGUAGGAUAGAGCUUAGUGCUCACAUCACACUCGUCUGACUCUGAUCCCCAAAAACUCAUCACAAUUGUUUGACUAAGUUCGUUCUAACUGAGUUGUUCCUAUUUUCAGAACAUGGAGUUAAAUUGAGCUCAUCUAUUAGUUCACGAUGAUGCAGCCUUAACAAAUUUAGGACCACCACGGUCAUCCUUUAAGACGUUCAAA
rnacentral:lncRNA from 1 species